rnacentral:rRNA from 1 species
AUACGGAGGGGGCUAGCGUUGUUCGGAAUUACUGGGCGUAAAGCGCGCGUAGGCGGCGCAUUUAGUCGGGCGUGAAAGCCCGGGGCUCAACCCCGGAAUUGCGCUCGAUACUGAUGUGCUGGAGGACGGGAGAGGAGAGUGGAAUUCCAAGUGUAGAGGUGAAAUUCGUAGAUAUUUGGAGGAACACCAGUGGCGAAGGCGGCUCACUGGCUCGAUACUGACGCUGAGGUACGAAAGCGUGGGGAGCAAACAGGAUUAGAAACCCUAGUAGUCC